UACGUAGGGGGCAAGCGUUAUCCGGAUUUACUGGGUGUAAAGGGAGCGUAGACGGCAAUGCAAGUCUGGGGUGAAAGGCGGGGGCCCAACCCCCGGACUGCUCUGGAAACUGUAUAGCUGGAGUGCAGGAGAGGUAAGUGGAAUUCCUAGUGUAGCGGUGAAAUGCGUAGAUAUUAGGAGGAACACCAGUGGCGAAGGCGGCUUACUGGACUGUAACUGACGUUGAGGCUCGAAAGCGUGGGGAGCAAACAGG
rnacentral:rRNA from 1 species